GAAAGGUUACAAGAGCGAACGGGGGAUGCCUUGGCUUCCGGAGACGAUGAAGGACGUGGUAAGCUGCGAAAAGCUGCGGGAAACUGCAAACAGGUAUUGAUCCGCAGAUGUCCGAAUGGGGCAACCCGCACGGUUGAAGACCGUGCACCAGAUUAUUCUGGGGGAAACCCGGGGAACUGAAACAUCUCAGUACCCGGAGGAAGAGAAAGAAAGUAUCGAUUUCCUGAGUAGUGGCGAUCGAAAGGGAAAGAGCCUAAACCGGUGCUGUUACGGCAGUGCCGGGGUUGUAGGAGCGCUUAAGGGAACAAUGAUUUCGAACGAGAACGCGUUGGAAAACGCGGCCGCAGAGGGUGAAAGCCCCGUAUCGGCAAGAAACUGUUGUCAGGAGCGCCACCUGAGUAGGGCGGGACACGUGAAAUCCUGUCCGAAUCCGCGGGGACCAUCCCGCAAGGCUAAAUACUUCCGGAAGACCGAUAGUGGACCAGUACCGUGAGGGAAAGGUGGGAAGAACCCCGAACAGGGGAGUGAAAUAGAACCUGAAACCGUUCGUUUACAAGCGGUCGGAGCGGAUUAGUCCGCGACGGCGUGCCUUUUGCAUAAUGAGCCUACGAGUUGUUUCUCAUCGGCAAGGUUAAGGACUUCAGGUCCGUGAGCCGGAGCGAGAGCGAGUCUGAACAGGGCGUUCAGUCGGUGGGAACAGACGCGAAACCUAGUGAUCUACCCAUGGCCAGGGUGAAGGAGCCGUAACAGGCUCUGGAGGCCCGAACCGGUUUACGUUGAAAAGUGCUCGGAUGAGCUGUGGGUAGGGGUGAAAGGCUAAUCAAACUGGGAGAUAGCUCGUACUCCCCGAAAUGUCUUUAGGGACAGCCUCGAAUUAGCUUCACGGAGGUAGAGCUACUGAUAGGAUGAGAGGGCUUCAUCGCCUGUCGAUUCCUGACAAACUCCGAAUGCCGUGAAGUGAUGUUCGGGAGUGAGUCGUCGGGUGCUAAUGUCCGGCGGCAAAAGGGAAAGAGCCCAGACCCUCGGUUAAGGCCCUCAAGAGCAGUUUAAGUUGACGGAACGAGGUGACAUCGCAGAGACAGCUAGGAUGUUAGCUUGGAAGCAGCUAUUCAUUUAAAGAGUGCGUAACAGCUCACUAGUCGAGCGACGUCGCGUGGAUGAUGAACGGGCAUCAAGACUGCCGCCGAAACCAGGGAUUCGAUGUUGACGCAUCGAGUGGUAGGGGAGCAUUCCGGUCGGCGCGGAAGGAGAGCCGCGAGGCUUUCUGGAGCGUCCGGAAAAGAAAAUGUAGGCAUGAGUAACGACAAGGGGCGUGGAAACGCCCCCACCGAAAACCCAAGGUUUCCUGAACAACGCUAAACGUAUCAGGGUCAGCCUGGGACUAAGGGGUACCCGAGAGGGGAACCCGAUGACGAGGCGGUUAAUAUUCCGCCGCUCGCUUUGCAGGCAAGUGUGUGACCGGGGAGUGACACUGUCGCCGUCUGACGGAAUAGGCGGUUGAAGGGAGUUAGAGGGAUCGAGACCCGACAGUACCGGGCGCCUUCGGGCAACCGGACAGCACAGGUAACCAUACCCGCGAGAAAAGCACAUGAGCGUGCAGCGCAAGGCGACCAGUACCGUAAACCGACACAGGUGGGUGAGGAGAGAAUCCUAAGGUGCUCGAGUGAAUCACGGCUAAGGAAUUAGGCAAGUUGACCCCGUAACUUCGGGAUAAGGGGUCCUCCUGCAAGGGAGGCGCAGAGAAACGGCCCAGGCGACUGUUUACCAAAAACACAUGGCUAUGCGAAAUCGCAAGAUGACGAAUAUGGCCUGACACCUGCCCGGUGCCGGAAGGUUAAGAGGGGGGCUUAGCGCAAGCGAGGGUCUGAAUCGAAGCCCCGGUAAACGGCGGCCGUAACUAUAACGGUCCUAAGGUAGCGAAAUUCCUUGUCGGGUAAGUUCCGACCUGCACGAAUGG
rnacentral:rRNA from 1 species